rnacentral:rRNA from 1 species
UACGGGGGGGGCAAGCGUUGUUCGGAAUCAUUGGGCGUAAAGGGCGCGUAGGUGGCGGGACAAGCGUGCGGUGAAAGCUCGGGGCUCAACCCCGAGUCGGCCGUGCGAACUGUUUUGCUUGAGCACUGUAGAGGCAGGCGGAAUUCCGGGUGUAGCGGUGGAAUGCGUAGAGAUCCGGAAGAACACCGGUGGCGAAGGCGGUUCUCUGGGCAUGUCCUGACGCUGAGGAGCGAAAGUGUGGGGAGCGAACAGG